rnacentral:rRNA from 1 species
CGACCGGGGGCGACAGCAAUAUGAAGGUCAGGCUGAAGACCUUACCCGAUUAGCUGAGAGGUGGUGCAUGGCCGUCGUCAGUUCGUACUGUGAAGCAUCCUGUUAAGUCAGGCAACGAGCGAGACCCACGUCCACAGUUGCCAGCAUACCCUCCGGGGUGAUGGGUACACUGUGGAGACCGCCGCUGCUAAAGCGGAGGAAGGAGUGGGCAACGGUAGGUCAGUAUGCCCCGAAUCUCCCUGGCUACACGCGGGCUACAAUGGUUGGUACAAUGGGCAUCUACCCCGAAAGGGGAAGGAAAUCUCUUAAAGCCAAUCGUAGUUCGGAUUGAGGGCUGCAACUCGCCCUCAUGAAGCUGGAAUCCGUAGUAAUCGCGUUUCAACAGAACGCGGUGAAUACGUCCCUGCUCCUU